UUGCGGUUGGCUUUUGCAAGAUAUUUAUGAUGCCGACUAUAAUUGCGGUUGGCUUUUGGAUCUUGUGGAGCAUAUUCCACGAUUCGGGCCACUCGUCCCGAGGGCUCGCCCCCGAUCGUGGAGGGUUUCGUUCGGUGGAGUGUUAGCGGCAGCGUCGGUCCUCUUCCUUCGCUGAAAGGCAACCUGCGUCGCCCUCAUCAUCGCUGCUGGCGGCGUGCCUUUCGAAAGGGUUCGUACGCUGUUUCACUUUAUUCCUUGAGCUUUACUCUUCGUAAUCGGUGAAGUAAAGACCGGCCCCCUAAAUCACGGGAAACGGCAGCCUUUUACCCCUUUCCUAUCGGGUCGUCUGGUCACUGAUUUCAGUCUAGGAGGCCUGCACGUUACCUGUUCGACGUAAUGAUCGAGACAAAAUAUGUCCUCCGUGACCUGCGUCCGCCAUACUAGGAGUAAUGUGCGGUCGUGCAUGGCGAUUGCCCUUCUUUCACAGUUUCAGUUAAUCAAAUAAAGAGGCUAGUUUGGUUGGAAUUUUCCACCUUAAGUUCCCAGCUAGAUUUUGUGGGUUGAAAUGUUGGGUUAAGGAAGAUGGAACUUGUAAUAGAUGAUAAACCCCCGUUUCCCGACGGUGAAUUGAUUGGAACCUGUGUAUUUGAACAUCUGAAAAUAUGCCACACGUCCCGUCCCGGGAGCUCAGAGCGAUGUCGCCUGACGCUGCUCUGCACGUCCCGGAAUGAUGGCCGGUCAGAAGGGUCGUCUCAUCCCUCGGGGGUUGCGGCGACGUCGAAUCGACGCACCAUCAACCCUCGCGCCAUAGUAUAAAACCCCUAGCCGGCCUCCAACCAGGGGAGAGGCAAAAAACAAAAGGGAAAAAGAAAAGCAAUCUCUCUUGUUACUAAUUUGAUCGUCGGAGGGGCCAUAGCCGGGGAUCAUCCGGCGGAGGCCAUUUUUGCAGGAGGGCGACCACUUGUUGACGACGAGGGACUCGGCACAGGAGCACCAGUCGUCCGACAAUGUGGAGUUGUUAAUCAGCCCCAAUCUCGACCAACGCCAACAACACUCCUUCCCGAGGGCCUGGCCACCUCAUCAUCCAGAUCACCCCACAAUAGGCUCCCGACAUCGACCCGUGGACCUAGCUGUGCUGACUCAACGGCCAUGAUAUAUUUGUUCGCUAACAAUAUGGACUCAGCAUGUGCAUUUUAGGUUCUCGUCUAUAUCUUGUAAGUUUGUAAUCAAUUUAUGAUUUGGAUCUUAAUUUGAUCAGACACUUAUUCUUCUUUUCA